rnacentral:rRNA from 1 species
ACGUAGGGGGCGAGCGUUGUCCGGAAUUACUGGGCGUAAAGGGUGCGUAGGUGGCCUUUUAAGUUGGAUGUGAAAUCCCCGAGCUUAACUUGGGUGGUGCAUCUAAUACUGGAGGGCUAGAGUGCAGGAGAGGGAAGCGGAAUUCCUAGUGUAGCGGUGAAAUGCGUAGAUAUUAGGAGGAACACCAGUGGCGAAGGCGGCUUUCUGGACUGUAACUGACACUGAGGCACGAAAGCGUGGGGAGCAAACAGGAUUAGAUACCCUGGUAGUCCACGCGGUAAACGAUGAAUACUAGGUGUAGGGGGUAUCAACUCCCCCUGUGCCGGAGCUAACGCAAUAAGUAUUCCGCCUGGGGAGUACGGCCGCAAGGUUG